GAGUGGGGCGGGCAGAGCACUCUCGGGAGCACGAUAUUGAAGAGGGCAUUGAUUUUUUCGGUUCUCUGCUUGCCACCAGGCAAUAAAUUCAGAUCUCAUGUGUUUCUCACUGGCACCUAUACCUGCUUGCAAGCCUUGAGCACCCUUCUCAUGAUCUAUGCACGUACUGCUUUGGAGACAUGACUGCACACACACACACACGCUUAUCCCGCACACUAAAUGACAGAUUUAAAUGGAGCUCAGUCAAUACCUCCCCGUGAGAAGUACCAUGUUCCCUCCCUACCUUCUGCUAUUGAACGUGGGUGGAUCUCUGCCGCUAAUUAGAGACACUAAAAUGUUGGAAGUAUUAGCCAGAAAUAGCACUCUAAAGGCGCUCGAUCUUUUUUUUCCUUUUUUUUUUUUUUUUUUUAACAAAAACAAUUUAUUUCCCUUGGUCCUCUUCUGUAUUUUCUGUCAAAGUAAAGAAGUGCCUACAUGAUUCAAAAGACAGUCUUCACUUUAGAACGCGGAGGAUAUAUAUGCAUAUGCAUAUAUAUAUAUUUAUGCAUAUGCAUAUAUAUAUGUGUGUGUGUGUGCGCAUACGUUUUGUGAAGGCGACGCCUCGUUCCUACCCUAGGCGAGCAAAAUUAUAAAUAUUCCCUAAAACAGUAAAAAAAUACAGCCGGGACGUGCAGUGGGAUCCAGAACCACAGGAAGGGCGCGCAGUGGGGGCAAGCACCAACGCGGCAGGAGCGCGCUGCAGCAGUGCUCCGCGCCCCCGGCGAGCCCGGCCUCCCUUCCCGAGCUGUUCCCUUCGAGCAGAAACGGCAGGACAGAGGUCUGGAAAAUCCCUUCUCUUCCCCUCCAGCCCCUUCUGGGGCACAGUUCCCUGCCCCCAAUCCAAUCCAAGCUUCUUCAGGGGAUCAGUAAGAGUGAUGGACUUUUCCACAUUAUCUCCCCACGCAGACCUCCAGCCACUCCUUUCCACAUACAACCCCGUAACCACUGGCAAUUUCUGUCCGUCUUCGCACACGGAGAGAAACACCGGGCCCUUCCGACAUCCCUGCGAGUCGCUGUGUCUGCAAGGGUUAAACCAGAGAAUGUAGCAGCUAGAGUGUCUGAUGAAAACAUUAAUAAAACGUGAUGAAUAAGCGGCGGAAUGGGUCUGUUUGGUGGAGACGAGCAAUCUGAAUGUGAAAUAAAACCUACUCACCGGGUGAAAUUUCAGGAAGCGAAGCGGCUGUGAGAAAAAUGCAUCCCGAAUCCAAAUAUACAGUCCAUGAUCUUCAGCUUCAAGCUAAAGGAGGGAUUUGCGUGGUGGUGGGACUUUGGAAACCAUCAGCAGCUCCUUGUGGCACAGCGGCAAGUAAAACCAUUCACACCGUGCGUGCCUGUGUGUGUGUGUGUCUGUCUGUCUGUCUGUCUGUCUGUGUGGGGGAGAGAGAGGCACAAGACCCAAAGAAACUGAAGGGGGAGGGGGAGGGAAGGAAAUCCAAAUAGCAAGAGGAGGGGAUAGGAUUUGAUGAUGGCUUUUUGUGUGUUUGUGUGUGUGUGUGUGCUUCUUGUUUUGUGUUUUGCUGUUUUUUGUGCGUUUUUGUUGAUGAUGAUGAUGAUGGUGGUGGUGGUGAUCCUCAAGGAAACCGGGGGAUCUGAACAGCGGGCAGGAGGAGAGGGGUUUUGCCGACCCGGGCCGAGCAAAGACAAGCCUGCACCGAGCAGCAGGCGACUCGCAGGCGCGCUCGUCCCGCCGUCUGCGGCAGAGGGGCGGGCUGGGGCGCUGGGGAGGUGACACCAGCAGGGAUCCCCGCGCCGGAGCCAGAAUCCGCUGAUCGCCCCCGGGAGGGAGGAGGAAGGUGGGAGGGAGGGAGGAGGGCAGGGAUAGCGCGGGGAGGGGCAGCCGCGGAGAGACCCGCGCGGGGGCCACCGGGCUCGCCGCCGGGCCUCGGAACACGGGGGAGCGGCACGACCAGGGCCGGCAGCCGACUCUCGCCCUCCUGCAGCCGCAAUCCAGCGAGCGACAGCAGCGGUAUCGACCGGGUAAGAGGACCCCUGCCUUCAGCAUCUCCCCUGUCCGCGGAGAAGCCUUUGUUUCAGAUCCCUUUGUUUUGGGUGUUGGUUGUGGGUGUUGUUAUUUUUUAUUAUUUUUUUUUUCUUUGCGCAGACGUGCCCCCCCCACCCCCGGAGCUGCCUCUCCCCGACGCCUGGCUGUCCAUCCGGCUGCGGCGUCCCCAUCCUGGCCGCAGUGGCCGGGGCCCGCUCAGUGUCCGCAGCGUGGGAGGGCGGCAGGCGGCGGCCCCUGCGCGGGGGCCCCUCUUCCCGGAGGGGAGGGCUGGGGAAGCAGAGUAGGGGUGGACGGUAGGGCUGGGGAAGCAGAGUAGGAAUGUUCCCGCUGAGCAUCCGUGCCCCCCUCCCUGCCUUGUCUAAACGAAGCGUUCCCCCCUCCCUCCUCCCCUUUCCUGCGCUUCUUGGCUCUCUGUAUGGAAAUCACGAGCUGGCUUGGUGGAAAAAAUCUCCCUUUUCCUCGUACAGUGGCUCCAGAGUGUGUGCGCUGAAUUUCAAGGUGUGUGUGUGUGGGAGGGGAGCCAGCGACAGCAUCUGUGGAGCUUGAUCCUCCUUCCCACCUCCACCGCCCCCCCUUAUGUCCCGCACUUACAUAUAUGUACCUUACCAGACAUGCAUGUUUAUGGCAAGUAAACACAUAGUUCCAUAGGCAUAGUUAGCCUGAGAGCUUGUUAUUAAUAAACUGAGAGCUAGCCACUGACAGGGAACGGGGUGCUGCUCACCAAGAAGAUUUGGCGUCUUUACAUAAGAGUAAGGUAACUUGGCCAUGUUUACACCAUGUUUACAUGCUUUCCAGGAUCAGUAAGAAAAGUGAUCAUAUAGACUAUGUGAUGUAUACAUUGGACAAAAUGAGGUGGCUGCCAGUAUAACACCAGCUCUCCAUCACUAUGUUCAUUGUGCUAUAUAUGCUCUUCACAAGACACAUCAUUUCUGUUCUUUUUUGAUCAAAAAGGUUUUUGUCUUCUCUAAAUCAUCUCACUGAGCACUAGGGUGAAGUGUUCAUACAUAUGUCAAGCAGGCAGUUAUUUGCUUCCACAAUCCUUUUUGAGCAGUUGCAGAAGCCCAUUUGCAUCACCUUGCUUUCCUCCUGUCACCAUUUUUAAGUAAUUCUUAUAGUAAAAAAAUAAUGAAGUAAUUUGUUCUUAGUAAUGAUUUAGCCUGCUUUUUGUUGGUGGUGGUGUUGUGUGUGUUUGUUUUUUUUUCUUCUUUUUCUUCAGAGAUGAGGGAAGAAAAGAAGUAGAGGAAGGAUGUUACUGUUAAUGAAGAAAAAAAUACAGUGUCCAUUUCAGGUGUAGUAGCUGUUAAAUAUGUAGGCAUAUGUGUGAUGAUAUGUGUGACGCAGUUAUAAAAAUGAAAGGCAUACCAUCUUUCCCCUUUGCCUUGAAAUACACUUUCUUCUACAUCAACAAGUAGUACAGGCUCUCUCCCCCUCUUCUUUCCCCCUCCUUCCUUCAGCCGGUCUUGACAAAAUACCAGUUAAAAAGGUCACUCUGUUUAUGUAAAGAUCAGUGUUUCUUAACAAAGAUUGCUGCAUAUCAAGUCUGCAAUGACUAUCAAAUAGACUUUGGGAUUCAAGUUACUCAAUAAGACUACUGUUCAUUUUCUAGAAUUGAUGAAAUCCCAGAGAAAACACAAGACAAAGAGACACAGAGUGUGAAUGGGAUAGAUCAACAAUGCCAGGUUGUGCGUAGGCAAUGAUGUCUUCAUAACAGUGUUUGUUGCCGUAAAUGCUUUUAAGAUCUGUUGGACCUUUAUAUGUUUAUGUGUGUAUAUGAUAUAUAUAUGUAUGUAUAAACAGAUUUUCUGCUAUGCUAAUGUUUUUCUCUUCUACU